rnacentral:sRNA from 1 species
UAGCUUUCUUUUUGGGGGAUAGUUGUGA